GAUGAACGCUGGCGGCGUGCCUAAUACAUGCAAGUCGAGCGAAUGGAUUAAGAGCUUGCUCUUAUGAAGUUAGCGGCGGACGGGUGAGUAACACGUGGGUAACCUGCCCAUAAGACUGGGAUAACUCCGGGAAACCGGGGCUAAUACCGGAUAACAUUUUGAACCGCAUGGUUCGAAAUUGAAAGGCGGCUUCGGCUGUCACUUAUGGAUGGACCCGCGUCGCAUUAGCUAGUUGGUGAGGUAACGGCUCACCAAGGCAACGAUGCGUAGCCGACCUGAGAGGGUGAUCGGCCACACUGGGAAUGAGACACGGCCCAGACUCCUACGGGAGGAAGCAGUAGGGAAUCUUCCGCAAUGGACGAAAGUCUGACGGAGCAACGCCGCGUGAGUGAUGAAGGCUUUCGGGUCGUAAAGCUCUGUUGUUAGGGAAGAACAAGUGCUAGUUGAAUAAGCUGGCACCUUGACGGUACCUAACCAGAAAGCCACGGCUAACUACGUGCCAGCCGCCGCCGUAA
rnacentral:rRNA from 1 species